rnacentral:rRNA from 1 species
GGAAUCUUGCGCAAUGGGGGCAACCCUGAUGCAGCGACGCCGCGUGGGUGAAGAAGGGUUUCGGCUCGUAAAGCCCUUUUCUGUGUGACGAGAGAGGACGGUAGCACAGGAAUAAGCGUCGGCUAACUACGUGCCAGCAGCCGCGGUAAAACGUAGGACGCAAGCGUUAUCCGGAAUUACUGGGCGUAAAGGGCGUGCAGGCGGUCUUUUAAGUUAGGCGUGAAAGCUCCCGGCUAAACCGGGAGAGGUCGUCUGAUACUGGGAGACUAGAGUAUGGUAGAGGCGUGUAGAAUUCCGCGUGUAGUGGUGAAACGCGUAGAGAUGCGGAGGAAUACCAGUGGCGAAGGCGGCACGCUGGGCCAUAACUGACGCUAAGACGCGAAAGCAUGGGUAGCGAAC